rnacentral:rRNA from 1 species
UACGUAGGCAGCAAGCGUUUGUUCGGAGUUACUGGGCGUAAAGGGUGCGUAGGCGGCCCUGUAAGUAUGGUGUGAAAUUUCCCGGCUUAACUGGGAGGGUGCGCUAUAGACUGCGGGGCUCGAGUGUGGGAGAGGGAAAGUGGAAUUCCUGGUGUAGCGGUGGAAUGCGCAGAUAUCAGGAGGAACACCCGGGUGGCGAAGGCGGGGUCUCUGGGGCAGUAACUGACGCUGGAGGAGCGAAAAGCGUGGGGGAGCGAACAGG